UACGUAGGGUGCAAGCGUUGUCCGGAAUUAUUGGGCGUAAAGGGCUCGUAGGCGGUCCAUCGCGUCGGGAGUGAAAAGCUGGGGCUUAACCCCAGUCCUGCUUCCGAUACGGGUGGACUAGAGGUAGGUAGGGGAGAACGGAAUUCCUGGUGUAGCGGUGAAAUGCGCAGAUAUCAGGAGGAACACCGGUGGCGAAGGCGGGUCUCUGGGCCGAUACUGACGCUGAGGAGCGAAAGCGUGGGGAGCGAACAGG
rnacentral:rRNA from 1 species